AGCGAACGCUGGCGGCAGGCCUAACACAUGCAAGUCGAGCGCCCCGCAAGGGGAGCGGCAGACGGGAGAGUAACACGUGGGAACAUGCCCUUCAGUACGGAACAACCAAGGGAAACUUUGGCUAAUACCGUAUACGCCCGUAAGGGGAAAGAUUUAUCGCUGAAGGAUUGGCCCGCGUCUGAUUAGCUAGUUGGUGGGGUAAUGGCUCACCAAGGCGACGAUCAGUAGCUGGUCUGAGAGGAUGAUCAGCCUCACUGGGACUGAGACACGGCCCAGACUCCUACGGGAGGCAGCAGUGGGGAAUAUUGGACAAUGGGCGCAAGCCUGAUCCAGCCAUGCCGCGUGAGUGAUGAAGGCCUUAGGGUUGUAAAGCUCUUUCGUCAGGGAAGAUAAUGACGGUACCUGAAGAAGAAGCCCCGGCUAACUUCGUGCCAGCCGCCGCAGUAAGAC
rnacentral:rRNA from 1 species